AUACUUACCUGGCAGGGGAGUCACCUUGAUCAUGGAGGAGGUUUUCCCAGGGUGAAGCUCAGCCAUUGCACUCCNGCUGUGCUGAUCCCUGAGAUUUCCCAAAUGUGGGAAACCUGACUGCAUAAUAUGUGGUAGUGGGGGACUGCGUGCACACUUUCCCAUG
rnacentral:snRNA from 1 species